rnacentral:lncRNA from 1 species
GGGAGAAUUCUGUUUCGAUACAGUGGCACGGUCACAUUGUGAAUUGAUGUUGACAGAUGGCCUUGGGUUAUGCGUUUGAUUGGAUUGUAACAAUCAACACGUUAUCCCUGUGAAUCACAAGCAGUUGCCAUGGUGCAGGUGAGAGAGGUCAUGGGGCCAUGGGCAGUUCCAGGGUUGGGGUCAUUCUCUUCAGAUUUCGUCGUGUUCUCUCUGCUCUUCCUCCUCCUCUCCAUCAUCCUCGCCCUCUGCACUAACUGUAGAAGGCAUUCCUUUACGCUCCGGGAUGGUGGUGAGGAGGUGGACAGAACCCAGUCACAGCUGGUCAGAGUGGUGAGAGAUGGGACGGGCAACAACAAUGAUGACAGCUAUGUCCUGACCAGGGUUACACUUGGGGUGGGCGCUCAGAAGUCGGUUAGAUUGGAGGUAGGGAGAUACGUAGGAAGCAAGGAAUGAGUAGAAGGGUUCAAGGGGGUGAAGGGAGGGAUGCAAUGGAUGGAAUCAUUUUGUGAGUACUUUGUCUAGAGACCAGUGGUGAGAGAUGGGUUAUUCUGAACCCAGUAUAGCUGUGAUGUCAUUUGCUGAUGAUGAUAUUUGAUUGACAGGUGAAGCUAGAAGAUGCCCUGGCCGCCAGGGAGAACCCAAUGAUCAAUGACAUCAGAAAAGAUGAGAGUGAUUUCAGUCCCAGACCUGAGGACAGUGUCAUUGGUGUACCGGAUCAGCCUCCUGCUGAGCAGGAUGUCACCUGGUUGAAACCCUGGAGGAGCCACAGGGAGGCACCUGAUCAAGGUGAUUCUCCAAGUGCCUUGCAGAUUGCCAACAGAACCCCCAUGGUCAUGACGAUUAUAUCUCCUUCGCCUCCAGCAACCGUCGACAUUGGUGACCUGAGUGAUGUCCUGAACUUCACACCUGAGCUCCACUUUAUCCCAGCCCCCAUUGUCAUGGUGGAAGUCGACACCCCCCUUGAAUCUUUAUCCCCACCUGUCUAUUCAGAGGACACCCUAGAUGCCACAAUCGUGAGCAGUUUUGAACCUGUUGAUGUCCCCAUUGUGGAGGUCCCCAUCAUGAGCAGCCUUAAACCUGUUGCUGUCCCCAUCCUUGAACCUCUGGUUGUCCCCAUCGUGAGCAUUCUUGAACCUGUGGAAGUCCCCAAUGUGAAUGUCCACAUCGUGAGUAGUUUUGAAUCUGUGGAAGCCCCCAUCGUGGAUCUCCCCAUCAUGGAUGUCACCAUUGUGAACAGCCUUGAACCUCUGCAAGCCCCAAUUGUGGAUGCACCCAUCGUGAGCAGCCUUGAACCUGUUGAACAUGCAGAUGCCACUGUCAUGAAUGACCUUGAUAUCCUGAAUGCUCCAGUUGGCUUAGAGAACCUGGAUGCCCCAGUCAUCAACAGUCUUGACACACUGGUGCUGGACGCUCUUAUUGUAAACAGCCUUGAACCUGUGGACAUCCCUGUCAUCAAUGACCUUGACACUCCAGAUACCCCCAUCAUAAAUAUUCUUGACACCCUGGAGCUGGAUGCUCCCAUCAUAGAUGUCCCCAUUGUGGACAGCCUUGCACCUGUGGAAUUCCCCAUCAUGAAUGACAUUGACCUCCUGGAGAACCCUGCGGAGUUCAGCUCCAGCUUUAACCCUCAGCUUGAAGUAGAGGUUCAUGUGGAGGGUGAGGACCAGAACCAGGGGCUUUGUCUGUGUGUCCAACCUCAGCGUACCUAUGAGAUCAUUGGGGAGCCCAAUCCUGAUGAACCCUCUGGAAGUGGACCUGGCAACCCCAGGCUCUCAAACCAUAGCUGAACUGGUCCAUAACUCCACCACACAUUCUGACGAUGACACAACCACAGUCACCGAGCCAGCGGACCUGGAAAGCCCAGGCUAUGAUACUAUAGCUGAACUGGUCCAGGAUUCGAGUGCAACCACACUGCCUGACGAUGACCCUAUCACAACCACAGUCACAGAGCCAGGGGAUCAGAUAACCCCUGCGUAUGAAACCAUUGCUGAACUGGUCCAUAAAUUGAGCGCAACCACACUGCCUGACGAUGAGCCAAUAAGAACCACAGUCACAGAGCCAGGAGAAGGGCUUGACCUUACAAGCCCUCUCUCAGUGGCAGAGGAGGGUUUCUGUGACGGGGUGGAAUCCAAUGUACGCUAGAGUGAGAAAGAAGCUUAGUAAAAGUACCACCCCACCACCUGUGCUUCCAUCGGAGGACGAGGAACCGGAGGGAUUUUCACCUCCAUUACCAGAGAGAAGUGGAGAGAUGGAGGGAUGAUCAUUGUAGAAUAUCUCAUAAGACUUCAAAUGUGUGUUACGUCAUCAAUUAUAUUUAUAUAGACUCAACUGUGUCAUUUCUGGUGGAACAUGUCUCAGAUGAUGAAGAUAAGGGUUGUACCCAGUACAUAUCUUAUACGAUCUCAUAUGAGACGGGUAUCUCACUGUCCUAUCCUUCAUAUACACUAUUUCCAGUCCUUUCAUUAGCUUUGCAUUGAACUCCGUACAAUGCUAUGCUACAUAUUCCAUAAGGAAGGACCCUAAGCCCAGAGUAGAACUGGGUCACCUAACAUGUUCCAGAGUAGGCUUUAUGUUUGUAUUUACUAACACAUUACAGUGUGAAGUGGCAAUUACACAGUAAUAAAUCAUUGAGUUACAGGUUUCUUUGAGAUUCAUUCAACUUGGUCCACUUAAGAUUCUCUCCCUCUCUAGAAUUACAAACAUUAUACUUUAAUGACAAUAGUGGUGCAUUCUUAAUAAAUAAUGUAUAUCAACAAAUUAAAUGGACAACAUUAUGGGUGUGUCCGAAUACCCAUACUUAAAUAGA